GGGAGAGUGGAUUCCGUGUGACUCGAUUCGACCCUUACGGUGGGGCCCACCUUGAUGUAUGCAUUGUAUAUCUCUGUCCAUCCAUUUGGAGAGAUCAUUUUAGGUCAUGAGACAUAAUGAGGCAAAUCGAAAGCUCAAGUGGACCCAACCACAGAAAAUAGUGGGGACUGAACGCCUACCAUUAAAAACUUUGGAGGGCCACGGGAGUUUUCGAUUAAGCUGAUAUUUGUGUUUUUCCUUUGUCCAUAUCUGUCUUUACAUAUGAACAGGUUGGAUCUUAAAUAAAUAUCAUGGUGGGUCCCCCAGAAAUGGUUUCUAGUUUCAACGGUGAGCAUCAUUGUCCCCACUGUUUUUUGUGGUGGGGUCCACUUGAGAUUUGGAUUGGUGUCAUUCUUUAACUCAUGCCACUUCAGAUUUGGAUUGGCAUCAUUCUUUGAUUCAUGCCGUAAAAAUGUUCUCUCCAAAUGGAUGGACGAUGUGGAUACAACACAUACAUCAUGGUGGGGCUCACAGUCAGGGUCCCACCCACAUUGAUGUUCGUCGCGUGCGGAAUGGUUAUUACCCCCACUAGGACGGGAGUGGAUUAGGUGAGACCCCAAAUCUACCGUGGUAGGUGGGACCCCUGAUUGUGGGGCUCAUAGUGAUGUGUGUCUUAAAUCCACACUGUCCAAACAUUUUGAAAGCUCAUUUUAAGGCAUAAGCCCAAAAAUGAAGCCAGCUCAAAUCUUAAUGGUCCAAAGCUUUUGUGGCCCACAAUAAGUUUUUAAUGGUCAAUCACCAUUAUUUCAUGUUCUAUGGUCCAUCUGGGAUUUGGAACUACUUCAAAAUUUUUUUAAAUCAUGCCCUAAAAUGAGCUUUCAAUACAGAUGGACAACAUGGAUGUAGUCACAUACAUCACAAUGGGCCCCAAAAUUAGGGUCCCAUCCACCUCUGUGGAUACAGGGUCUCACCUAAUUUGCUCCCCAUGAUGGACGUGGAUUGCCUAUUGAUGCUACCAGCAACACCUCGCUAUUGGACAGUGCUCUGCGGGCCUCAACAUGAUGUAUGUGUUAUAUCCAUGCUAUUAAUAUAAUUUUCUAUAUUAUUUUAGGGCAUGAUCCCAAAAAUGAGGCAAAUCUAAGUCUCAAGUGGACCACACAAUAAGAAAACAAUUGUAAUUGAAGGGUCACCAUUAAAAUUUUCCUAGGGCCCACUGUAAUGGUUAUUUGCCAUCCAACCUAUUGAUUAAGUCACAGAGACCUGGAUGGAAGUGAAAAGACAAAUAUCAGCUUCAUUCAAAACUUUUGUCGCCCCGAGAAGUUUUUAAUGGUGGGCAUUCAAUUACCACUACUUUCUUGUGGUGUGGUCCACAUGAGAUUUGAAUUUGUCUAAUUUUUGGGAUUAUGGUCUAAAAUAAUAUGGGAAAAUGGAUGAACGGAGUGGAUAAAAAAUAGACAUUAUGGUUUUUCAAUUGAUAGAUAUGUUUUUUUAUUUUAUUAUUUUUACUUCUUUUUUCCUUUUGAAUGAAUUAGAUACAUUUAAAAAUGUUAUGCAUUCAAUUUGAACAUAAUUGCAUAGUUCAGUCAGACAACGCAUAGCUUAGGACUCUAUAAAAAGGAAACCUAUUAUGUGCACUUCUUUUUUGAGAUGUUAUGAUUUAAAAUUGUGUAUUAAGGUCUUUUUUAACAAUCCCUGAGCUUUCAUUGGAAAAUUCAACCAUUUCCCCAAUGUUUCCCAAAAAGUUCGAUAAAUUUUAUUCAUGAUUUUAUGUAUACAUUACAAUAUGAAUUCAAUCAUUCAUAUGUAAAACUAUAUUGCAUACACUCAGUGAAUGUAUUGGAGUUAGUGUUGUCAUAUCCGAUCGCAUAUGCCAUUUUGGACCAGUGGAUUGCUUAUGCCAGGUGGCAUAUGCGAUUAUUGUGUUGUUGGUGCUUAUGUGGUCGCACAGAGAAGUAUGCGACCACAUAAGCCAUAGUUAUGUGGUUGUGCCAUCGUAUACACAAUAUGCAACGGCAUAACCUCCCAACAGUUAGAUUUCUAACUGUUGGGACAUCUUUUUCUUCUUCUUCAUUUUCUCUCAUUUUUUGCCUAAAAAUAGGCACUCCUAGCCCCCUAUUUUCACAUCUCUCUCUCUCUCUCUCUCUCACACACACACACACACACACACACACACACACACACACACAAACUCACUGUAAUACUCUCAUCUCUCAAUCUCUCUAGUCUCUUAACUCUCUUAGUCUCAUACUCUCUCUCACACACUAUUACUCGCACUCUCUUUAAAUGGCAUCAAUAAAAUUCAUCUAUUGUUUUUUUUCCCAUAUUUUUUAGUAUAUGCACUCAUUUGACUAGUUGUUAGUUGACUUGUCAUAGUCUAGUACCAAAAAAAAAAUAAAAUCCCUUCACUUGUAUUUUUACAUAAAAUUUCUUUUUUUUUUUCCUCAAAAAUGAAAAUACAAAAUUGGGGGUCUAUGCCAUCAUCACAUAUUUGAUUAUGCAAGAAGCACACAACCCCCUUGGGUGUCACACAAGAUCGCUUUUGCCAUUGACAACAUUGAUUGGAGUGACCCACAUUAUUCUACCCCUAAUGUACAACAUAUAUGAGGAAGCUGUGCACAAUGUAUCCAUUCCCGAACCAUGUACCGAAGUGACCUGUGAUCCAGGUAACUGUGGUUUGCCUUGCCACUGUGUUUGAUAUACCAAGAAAUGUCAGGCUCAUACAACCAUGUGGAAUAUGUCUGCACCUAGGCAUUUGAAAAAUUAUGAAAUUUGGUUUCAAUCCACAAAGUUGCUGAAGCCCUACAAGAAGGAAGUACAAGUAAUGCCAUGUAGGUGAAACAAACAUAAACACAGGCAUGUGAUCUGGAUUGCAGAUGACAGCAUGGAUGUUUCUGUUCAGAUAUCCUUACAUAAAGUCUACCCGUGUUUGGUUAGAGUUUAGAUUGUCCUGGUAGCCCUGUGCUGUGUUUUUUUUUUUUUUUUU